ensembl:lncRNA novel transcript
AGGUACAGCUGUCACUGUCCACCAUGUAAGAGGUGCUUUUCACCUUCUGCCAUGAUUGUGAGGCCUCCCUAGCCACAUGGAACUCACUAAGAACACCCUCUCUCAGAAGCCAGCUGCCAUGUCCCAAGGAGAAGUCACAUGAAGAAUGGAGGUGGUCUGUUCAACAGACCCCCAGAGCUUCAAGCUGACAGCAGCAUCAACUCUAGGAAUGCAAGGGGACUAUCCAGAACAUUCCAAACCAUUCGAGCCCCCAGAUGAUCUCAGUCAACAUAACAUAGAGUAGGAAAACCAACCAGUCAAUCCCAGUCAACAACAGAAUCAUGAAAGAUAAUAAAGUGGAGAAAACAUAGAAAUGUAAAUGCACUUUCUACAUGUGAACUGUGCUAAGGACCUUUGAAGCUGUGCUCCUUCUUCCCAAUAUGACAUCUGGGUUAAGGAGAAGCUUACUUUAUAUGGCAAAUUGACUAGUACAUAGUAGACCUCAAUGAAUAAUAAUUUGUUGAAAGUUUUCCUCUUCCAAGGCUCAGUUUCUUCAUCUGUGAAUUAAGGAUGUUGCUCAAGAAGGGACAGGAGUGAAGUGUCCAGGCUCAUCAACAGUCUGUGUGCAAAGUUACAGAAAAUUUCUUCUCACAGCCUUUGAGAGAGAAAAUUCUAUGGCCUUCAGACUUGGAUUAGAACUACACCACCGGCUCUCCAGGAUCUGCAGCUUGUAGAUGGCAGAUUGUGGACAUUCUCAGCCUUCAUAAUCAUGGCUCGUCCCAAGUGGAUCUUUCAGAAAGCCCUUCUCUGACCACAAUAUAGUGCUAGUGCCACCGCUGCCCACCCCGUGGUGUGCUAGACUCGUCCAACUUAGAAUCACCACUACUCCCUGCAAGUGUGUCCAUGGUGCUAAACAUCCCCAAGUAUUUGUAUAUAGUGCUUUGUACAGGGUGAUUUAUGUGCAUUCAUGUGAUGGUUCAGAAUCUCAACGAGAGGACGAUGUUUGCCACUGCUGUACAGAAAAAGGUGAUCCAGCAGCUGCAGAUGAUUAGAAGUGAAUGGCAAAGCAAUGUCAAGAGAUUCUACAUCCACAAAACAAGAGUUUCAACCACAGAAGGGCACAAGGAGACAAACUCAGACUCCAAGAAUACCACAGACUUGGUAAUAUAUAAAGGAAAAAAACGUUAUUUAUCUUAUGAUUCUGGAAGUCCAAGACCAUGGCAUGGCAUCUGGUGAAGGCCUUCUUGCCGCAUCACAACAUGACUGACAGAGGGAAUCACACGAGUCUCGCUCUAUCACUCAGGC